UACGUAGGUGGCAAGCGUUUGUCCGGAUUUAUUGGGUUUAAAGGGCGCGUAGGCGGGCUCCCAAGUCAGGGGUGAAAACUUUCGGCUCAACCGGAAAAGUGCUUCUGAUACUGGGAGUCUCGAGGGAGGUAGGGGUCGGUGGAACUGGUGGUGGAGCGGUGAAAUGCGUAGAUAUCACUAGGAACGCCGGUGGCGAAAGCGACCGACUGGACCUCUUCUGACGCUGAGGCGCGAAGCCAGGGGAGCGAACGGG
rnacentral:rRNA from 1 species